UACGAAGGGUGCAAACGUUGCUCGGAAUUAUUGGGCGUAAAGCGCACGUAGGCGGUAUCGCAAGUCCCAUGUGAAAGCCCACGGCUUAACCGUGGAAGUGCAUGGGAAACUGCAGUACUUGAGUACUUAAGAGGAUCGCGGAAUUCCCGGUGUAGAGGUGAAAUUCGUAGAUAUCCGGAGGAACACCAGCGGCGAAGGCGGCUUUCUGGUCCGAUACUGACGCUGAGGUGCGAAAGCGUGGGGAGCGAUCCGG
rnacentral:rRNA from 1 species